rnacentral:rRNA from 1 species
AAAGGAAUUGACGGACCCGCACAAGCAGCGGAGCGUGUGGUUAAUUCGAGGCUACACGAAGAACCUUACCAGGGUUUGACAUGCAAGUGGUAGGAAUCCGAAAGGUGACCGACCCUUCGGGAGCUUGCACAGGUGCUGCAUGGCUGUCGUCAGCUCGUGUCGUGAGAUGUUCGGUUAAGUCCGCUAACGAGCGCAACCCUCGUCGUGUGUUAUACGUGUCACACGAUACUGCCGGUAUCAAGCCGGAGGAAGGUGGGGAUGAUGUCAAGUCAGCAUGGCCUUUAUAUCCUGGGCUACACACACGCUACAAUGGCAGAUACAAUAGGUUGCGAAACCGCGAGGUGGAGCCAAUCCUCAAAGUCUGUCUCAGUUCAGAUUGUAGGCUGCAACUCGCCUGCAUGAAGUUGGAGUUGCUAGUAAACGCAGGUCAGCUAUACUGCGUUGAAUACGUUCCCGGGUUU